rnacentral:lncRNA from 1 species
AGACCCGGAGGCGGGGCCGUCACGUGGGGCAGCGUGGGCCGCUGCCUUGGAAACGCAGAGCGCGCGCUCCAGGUAAAGGCUGCUACGCCCAGGACAGGGUUCUCACGGUGGAGGAAAGGACUUCUGCGGGAUACCACGCUGUGCGCCAAAAAGCCGGGCGGCUUCGGAGCCAGAGCAGCGGCUCUGCGGCGCAGGCGGCGGGUCGGGGCAGCCUUGAAGCCGGGAUCCGGCCCGAAGGGGUCUUUUUGGAGUUCCUGAGCUCAGUGCCCCAGAAGGCACAUACUUCAUAUGAAAUAUGAAGGAUUUCAUACUGCACAAGAAAAAGCCUUGAGAAAGACAGAAUUGCUUGUGGACCGUGCGUGUUCCACCCCACCUGGGCCCCAGACCGUGCUGAUCCUUGAUGAGCUCUCGGAUUCCUUGUGCAGAGUGACCGACUUGUGGAGGGGCUAGCCAGACAGCACAUUCAAGCUGUAUGUCCCGGGAUGAUUCCAAUGAAGGCUCUUCACAGGAACACGGAGAGAGGCCAUGCCCUGACCCUGCAGACGGAGCUGUGGACAAUGCUGUUUAAAGCCAGCAGUGGUAGCUGAAAAGUGAGAGGACGCUGAUGAAGAACAUUGCAGACACAAAGAAAAGAAAAAAGUAACCAACAUGUUUCAAAUGUUUCAAACAUAUCAAGUGAGUCUUCUGACCAUUUUGUGAAGCAAAUUUUUAUUAAACAUAUUCACUAUAAAUGUCACAA